rnacentral:lncRNA from 1 species
CUUUAUUUCAGAGUCUCAAAUGUAAUCGGACAAAUAAACACAAUCAUAAAUAAAACGUUAAUUUGUAAUACUUUGUCAAGAAUCUUUUGCAGGCAAAGACUACUUGAAGUGUGGAAUGCAUAGACAUUAAAACAUGCUGGGUUUCCUCCUUUGUGAUGCUUUUCCAGGUUUUUAUGCAGCUGUCUUCAGUUUUUGUUUGUUCGUGGGUCUUUAGCCUUACGUUUUGCCUUCAACAAAGUGAAAUGAAUGCUCGAUCGUGUUGAGAUCAGGGACUCAGCCAAUGCAGAUUAUUCCAGUUCUUUGCCUUAAAAAAAACUCCUGGGUUGCUUCCACAGUAUGUUUUGGGUCAUUGUCCAUCUGUAAAGUGAAGCACCAUACAAUCAACUUUGCUGAAUUUGGAUGAGUCUAAGCAGAAAAUAUAUCCCAAUACACUUCAGAAUUCAUCCGGCUCCUUCUGUCUUUUUCCAUAUCAUCAAUUAACACUAGUGACACAGUUCCAUUGGAAGCCAUGCAUGCCCAUGCCAUCACACUGCUUCCAUCGUGUUUUACAGAUGAUGUGGUAUGCUUCAGAGCAGGAGCCAUUCCAAGCCUUUGCUACGUUUUUCUUCCCAUCUUUUUUGGUACAGGUUGAUCUGUCCAAAGUAUGCUGUCCCAGAACUGGGCUGGCUUUUUAGAUGUUUUUUGGCAAAGUCUAAUCUGGCCUUUCUCUGAGACUUAUGAAUGGUUUGCAACUUGUAGUGAACCCUCUGCAUUUGCUUUUGUGAAGUCUUCUCUUUUGUGGUAGACUUCAAUAAUGAUAUGCCUACCUACAGGAGAGUGUUCUUCACUUGGCUGUAUGUUGUGAAGGGAUUUUUUUUCACCAUGGAAAGGAUCCUAUGAUCGACCACUCUUGUUUUCCGUGGGUGUCCAGACCUUUUUGUGUUGCAGAGCUCACCAGUGCGUUCUGUUUUUUUCCUCAAAAUGUACCAAACUGUUGAUUUGAUCACUCCUAAUGUUGCUGCAAUCUCUCUGAUGAUUAUUUUUUUUUUUUGCAACCUAGGGAUGGCCUGUUUCACUGAAAGCUCCAUCGACUGCAUGUCGUGUGUUCACAGCAACAGCUUCCAAAUGCGAAAGGCACACCUGGAAUUAACUCCAGACCUUUUAUCUGCUUAAUUGAUGAAGAAAUAAUGAAUGAAUAGACCAAGCCUGUCCAUAAACAGCUUUUCAGUCAAAUUGUCCAAUUGCUUUUGGUCCCUUGGAAAAGAGGGGGCUACAUAUUAAAUAGGUAUAAUUCCUAAAACCUAAUUAAAGCUGAGAAACUACACUUGAAGCCCAUAUUCAUUAUUUAACUAUAGCUUGAAUGUAUUUUAGUAAACAGUCAAAAUAACAAAACUUGUGUCAGUGUCCAAAAUAUUUCCAGACCUAAUUAGUGUCCAAAUUAAAAACAUAAAAGAUAAUAGGACAAUGGGGAGUGCUCAACACCACAAAUAAAACAUAAAUACUUAUACAAAGACUCCUCUGUAUUGGUUGCUUAAAUACCAAAUAAAUAAGUCUUGGGUCUGUAUAAAAACAUAAUGAGAAACACUUUCAUAGAACAAUAUUUUCACUCUCUAGUAAAUGUAAAUUGUUAUAUACAGAACCACUCACAUUUACCAGAGCCUUAUACAGAAGGCUCUGGCUGGGAUCACCUGUAGUUUGGCAGUAUAGUCUCACCACAAUUGGUCUGCUUCAGAUGUUUGAAGCAGGCCAACUGAAGCUCUAUGUAUAAAAUUAAUAUAACUCCAAUAAUUACAGACACAAUUGGAUGUAUGGCAAAACCUGGAGAUCUCGUGGUUGGGAAGAGUGAAUGCCAUUAAGAUGAUGGCACUUCCUCACAUCCUAUACUUGUUCCACACCAUACCCAUAGCACUAGGAGACAAAUUAUUAAAUAAGCUUCAAAACCUUUUCAAUGCAUACAUGUGGAAGAAAAAAAAAAACAAGAAUAGCUAGACGUCUAACAUGGUUAUCACCAAAUAAAUGGGCACUGAGGGUUCCAAACAUCAGAGCAUAUUAUAGAGCAGCUGCCAUGGCUCAAUGUCUGGAAAUACUCUCCCGCACCACACCACCAAUAUGGGCCCAUUUAGAAAAUGCAUGUAUACGACCAUACACAUUAGACUCCUUGCUGAGGUCAUUUACAAUAUGGGACAAUACAAACAAUAAGCACAUGGAGAGCACAAGAUUUCUAAUAAAUAGCUGGAGGAAAUGGGCAAGAACCCUUAUAGGAGUAAAUAACAUCCUGUAUUUUGCCCCAAUAGAAACAAUCUCGGAGCUCUCAGAAAAUAUCAAUAUGGAAACGUGGCACCAAAAAGGUAUCACAUCGAUAACACAGCUAUAUAAAGAAAAUGGCCUAAAAUCCUUCCUGGACCUUCAGCAGGAGUUCACACUAUCCUCUAGAGAUAUAUUCACAUACAUUAGACUUAAACAUAUCCUUCACACGUUACAAGUCAGACAAUGUGAAGACUUCUAACUUACAAACUUUGGUUAAUGCUGCAUAGGCAAAUGGCCGCAAACAAAACCUUUAUCCCUCUGCUAUAGAGAACUGAAUGAUAAAGACCCACUAAGCAAACACAAAUACAUAGUACAAUGGGAGGCUGAUCUCAACAUCAAUAUUCCCACUCCAUUUUGGCUACAAGCUAUGCAGAUGACAAAAAAAAGCAUCCCACAGCCUAUCCCAUUGGGAAGCAUAUAAUAAUAUACUAAUGAGAUGCUACUUAGUGCCGACCAGGCUAGCGACCAUGUACCCAUAAAUUUCACAAACCUGCUGGAGAUGUGAGUUCCACAAAGGUAACAUACAACAUAUAUUUUGGGAAUGCUGGAGAGAUUCUGGCAGACAAUAAGUAAAGCCAUAAGACUAGUAUCAAUCCACCAGAUACCAUUCACACCAGAAUGCUACUUGCUCCAUCUGUCACCUGAGUUACUCUCAGACAGGAAUAACCACAUCAUUGUAAACAUACUGACAGCGGCAAAAACUAGCAUAGCCACCCACUGGAGAAGCAAACACAUUCCAUCCCCCAUGGAGGUUUGGAAUAGACUCGAAACCAUAGCAGUCUUUGAACAGAUGGCAUACAGGCUGAAUGGACAAACCGACGCAUACACCAAAAGGUGGGCGAGUUGGCAAACCCACAACACAGAAGUGAAAAACCUUACACGAACACUCUAAGAAAAGGUAGGCCUCCUUGCACAAAGCUAGACACGCAGAUAAAUUGAAAAUGCUAGGGAUAAAUCAACUUGGGACACACGUUCCCUCUUUACUAUCUACACCCUCUCGGCCAUCGAGUGUCACGGACCUGACGGAGCAUAAACCUGUUUUCCCCUACCUACCCAGUUCUCACCCCAUACACCACAAAAGUGAAGCAUGCCGCACAUGAGAACAACUAGGUACAUGACAUAGGCCAAUCCAUGCACCAGAAAUAAGACAGGAAUAGAUGAAAGGAGACAUACUAUGUCAAUAUGAUCUAUAUAAUGAUGUCAAAUCCAUCACUUCAUGUGCAUAACUAACCGCAUGUAAUACCUGCUUAUGAUGCCUGUAUGCUGAAAC